GACGAACGCUGGCGGCGUGCUUAACACAUGCAAGUUGAACGGUGAAGCGCCUUCCUUUUUGGUGGGUGUGGAUGAGUGGCGAACGGGUGAGUAACACGUGAGUAACCUGCCCCCUUCUUCUGGAUAACCGCAUGAAAGUGUGGCUAAUACGGGAUAUUCUGGGUCUGUCGCAUGAUGGGUCUGGGAAAGAUAUUGUUUCGGUGGGGGAUGGGCUCGCGGCCUAUCAGCUUGUUGGUGGGGUGAUGGCCUACCAAGGCGGUGACGGGUAGCCGGCCUGAGAGGGUGGACGGUCACACUGGGACUGAGACACGGCCCAGACUCCUACGGGAGGCAGCAGUGGGGAAUAUUGCACAAUGGGCGCAAGGCUGAUGCAGCGACGCCGCGUGAGGGAUGGAGGCCUUCGGGUUGUGAACCUCUUUCGCCAGUGAAGCAGGCCUGCCUCGUUUGUGGGUGGGUUGACGGUAGCUGGAUAAGAAGCGCCGGCUAACUACGUG
rnacentral:rRNA from 1 species